rnacentral:rRNA from 1 species
UGAGGAAUAUUGGUCAAUGGGUGCAAGCCUGAACCAGCCAUCCCGCGUGAAGGACGACUGCCCUAUGGGUUGUAAACUUCUUUUGUAUAGGGAUAAACCUACCCUCGUGAGGGUAGCUGAAGGUACUAUACGAAUAAGCACCGGCUAACUCCGUGCCAGCAGCCGCGGUAAUACGGAGGGUGCAAGCGUUAUCCGAAUUUAUUGGGUUUAAAGGGUCCGUAGGCGGACUUAUAAGUCAGUGGUGAAAGCCUGUCGCUUAACGAUAGAACUGCCAUUGAUACUGUAAGUCUUGAGUAUAUUUGAGGUAGCUGGAAUAAGUAGUGUAGCGGUGAAAUGCAUAGAUAUUACUUAGAACACCAAUUGCGAAGGCAGGUUACCAAGAUAUAACUGACGCUGAGGGACGAAAGCGUGGGGAGCGAACA